AAACUAACAAGGAUUCCCCUAGUAACGGCGAGUGAAGCGGGAAGAGCUCAAAUUUGAAAUCUGGCAGUCUUCGAUUGUCCGAGUUGUAAUCUAUAGAGGCGUUUUCCGUGCCGGACCGUGUCCAAGUCUCCUGGAAAGGAGUAUCAAAGAGGGUGAUAAUCCCGUACUUAACACGACCACCGGUGCUCUGUGAUACGUCUUCUACGAGUCGAGUUGUUUGGGAAUGCAGCUCAAAAUGGGUGGUGAAUUCCAUCUAAAGCUAAAUAUUGGCGAGAGACCGAUAGCGAACAAGUACCGUGAGGGAAAGAUGAAAAGCACUUUGGAAAGAGAGUUAAACAGUACGUGAAAUUGUUGAAAGGGAAACGAUUGAAGUCAGUCGUGUUCUUUGGAUUCAGCCAGUUCUGCUGGUCUACUUCCUUGGAACGGGUCAACAUCAGUUUUGUCCGGUGGAUAAAGGUAGUAGGAAUGUGACUUCUCCGGAAGUGUUAUAGCCUAUUAUCACAUACACUGGGUGAGACUGAGGACUGCAGCUCGCCUUUACCGCCCCCCUUGAAGAAACGUUCGAGCUUAGGAUGUUGACAUAAUGGCUUUAAACGACCCAUCU
rnacentral:rRNA from 1 species